rnacentral:rRNA from 1 species
UCGAGUGGCGAACGGGUGAGUAACACGUGGGUGAUCUGCCCUGCACUUCGGGAUAAGCUUGGGAAACUGGGUCUAAUACCGGAUAGGACUACGCACUGCAUGGUGUGUGGUGGAAAGCUUUUGCGGUGUGGGAUGGGCCCGCGGCCUAUCAGCUUGUUGGUGGGGUGAUGGCCUACCAAGGCGACGACGGGUAGCCGGCCUGAGAGGGUGUCCGGCCACACUGGGACUGAGAUACGGCCCAG